UACAGAGGUCUCAAGCGUUGUUCGGAUUCAUUGGGCGUAAAGGGUGCGUAGGCGGCGCGGUAAGUCGGGUGUGAAAGUCUCGGAGCUUAACUCCGAAACUGCAUUCGAUACUGCCGUGCUUGAGGACUGGAGAGGAGACUGGAAUUUACGGUGUAGCGGUGAAAUGCGUAGAUAUCGUAAGGAAGACCAGUGGCGAAGGCGGGUCUCUGGACAGUUCCUGACGCUGAGGCACGAAGGCCAGGGGAGCAAACGGG
rnacentral:rRNA from 1 species